rnacentral:lncRNA from 1 species
UUGUAAUAACUCUUUUAUAUUGUAUGCAAGAUUUAAUUUAUAUCUACACUGAUAGUGUGAAUCACAUCACAACCUUCUGAUUUAAAAAUGUUUAAUCUGAUGUUUAAAAAUGUGAUAUGUGUGAUGCUGUUGUUUUUGUAGGGUGGGGUGUGGAAUUGUAGAUAGAGACUUGGGUAUUAUGGGGUAUGCAACAAUUUUUUUAUGUUAACUACUUUGGCCAGACAAAAACAUAGAUUUUUAAUUAGUUGUCAUGCGUGCAGGAAUAGGGACC